GAGCUGUUGGAAAAAAAAAUAAAGGGCUUUUUGAUUUCACAUUGCAACAAUUCCCUAUCUAACAUAAAGUCCCACAAAACAGAACUUUACUAUCUUAUAGCUAACCCUCUGCUUUAAAGACAACAAAAAUGGCACGUCCCCAUUUCUGUUGAAGGAAUAUUUUUAAACAAGAGAUAUUUUUUCAGCCUAGAUGCAUGAUAGAUCAAGAGGAAAAACAGGUUUCAUUUACUUUUAAAACAACCUCCAUUUCAAUAAAGAAAAACAAACCUUUUGUACUGUAACAAACAACAUCCUUACAGUACAAGUGCAGCUCUCAGAUCUGAAAUAUUAUGGCCAGAUGCAAAUAGUCACAUUUGAAUUAUGCUGAAAUAGAAGGUUUUCAUUUUGUUCUUUGUUUCUUUAAAAUUUCUUUUAAAACUCCUUAUGUCCUUUUCCAAGUGCUCUCAGCAGAGUCCUGGACUGUCUAGUUCAUAAUUGGUUCAUUAAGGUCAAGGCCUGUACAAGCUACUGUGAAAAUUCAAAAGCAAUCUUCGAGUUGUAUCCACAAUUCAAGAGCAUGACGGAUGAUGUCAGCCCAAAUUCCUCAAGAAUAAACUGUGGUUUGCUGCCAUGUGUUAACAAGUAGAAACACUUGGUUUCUAGGAUUUACCCAGUCAAACUACAAGAAGCUGAAACAUCUGGCUUGUCAAAAUGGUCACAAGGUUAUAGAGGCAACGACAAAGAUGUCAGAAAAUUCAAUCCAGGAAAUGAGCACAGUUCAACCACAACAUAAAUUUAGUCUCUAAACACAUUGUCUUACCUUUCUGAUGCACUGAUUUCUAUAUUUUUUAGAUUUUAAUUCCCCAUGAAUGAAACUCUAUGUAUUUUCAGGAAAUGCUAAACAUCAUUAUGGUUUUUAGUAAGUAAUUCUUACCAACUCUCCUGCUAUUUCUUACAUUUGUGAUGAGAAUUAUUAGAAGUGACUUGCCCAUUAUGACCCAAAUGGAAAUAAAAAAAUGCAAUGAGCCAUAGCUAUGUGACCUCAAGCCAAACACUUCAAACUCAUGUACCUAAAUAUAGACACCUAAAUAAAUGGCCUGGUUUUCAGGAGCACUGUGUGACUCAGAGUUGUAGGUGCUCUUAAAAAUCAAGAUGCUUAUUUAGGUAUCUGAAUACAGACUGAGCUUAUGAAUAUAUUAUUUAAUUUGCUUAAGAAUGUAAACAACUAAGAAAAUAAAAAAGCUACUAGAAAUUCUAUUUUUAUAUGUGCUAAUUAGACGGCCACAGACUGUAAUUCACAGACUGCAAGACACAAUUUACUCCUCUAAAGCAAAUAUUGUGGUAAUUAAUUUUUAUUAAUUGUUGAGAAGCAGAAUUUAGGAGCCCUGGUUCUGAAGCAGUGCUAGAUAGGUUUGAUGGAGAAGUCCACUGUAUGAGAUUUCUUUGCCUUUUAUUAAUCUUUAUCCUUAAUUAUGGAGAUUGACACAGGAAGGCUUUCCAAAAUGUCAUUUUAAGAAGCUUUGUUUAUAUGGAGAGAUCAUUAAAAAAAAUUGGAUGUUUCAGUCUCCUUAAGUGUGAUCCAUAAUCUUCAGGCUUCUUGUGUUUUUCUUUCUUCUCUGAAAUUUUCAUUCAUUAUUCUGGCACUUUUAAGUGACUACUGAUGGCAUAAUUGGAGUAUCAUGGAAGCAGAAGGCUGUGUUAUUAGUCAGCAUGACACCACAUACGCAUCCAGUUAAUGGAAAAUAAGCAGUUCAAGCAGCGAGUGCCUGGAGCUGUCAUCCACAACAGGGCAGAGAUGGGACCCCAUAGUCAGGCCCACUUUUCUUCACCUCUACCAUGAACAGGUAUUUCUUUCCUGCAAAA